CCUACGGACGCAGCAGUAGGGAAUCUUCCACAAUGGGCGAAAGCCUGAUGGAGCAACGCCGCGUGGGUGAAGAAGGUCUUCGGAUCGUAAAACCCUGUUGUUAGAGAAGAACAAGGACGUUAGUAACUGAACGUCCCCUGACGGUAUCUAACCAGAAAGCCACGGCUAACUACGUGCCAGCAGCCGCGGUAAUACGUAGGUGGCAAGCGUUAUCCGGAUUUAUUGGGCGUAAAGGGAACGCAGGCGGUCUUUUAAGUCUGAUGUGAAAGCCUAUGGCUUAACC
rnacentral:rRNA from 1 species